CAGGAUGACCUUCUCAAUAUGUCUUCCGGAAGUGUACGUUGUUAACUUCACUGCGCAUGCGCACAAACAACCGCGAAAACCGUUUCUUUGCACAAGAUGAAGCCAGCUCGAGGGUCGUCGAGAGCAUCAACACUGGGUCCUAAAUGCGCAGGACGGAGAGGAAAAAACUUACAGCAAAAACCAGUGCCUGAGAUUGAGAGCACACAAGAUAAGACAAGAAAGAAAGAGCUAAGAAAGGUGAAAAGUCAGGAAAAAUGGAAACCAUUGGACCCGGCCUCCAUCAGGGUCAUCGACAACAUGCUGAGUUUGUCAAUACUACACGUCCUUCCAAUGAGAUCAAAAGAAAAAGAGGAAUCACAGAAACACCUUAAUUCCUUGAAAGACCAGUUCCUAGCUAAAUGUUCUCAACUCCCUGUGCCACCUCAGAAACAUGGAAACUUGAUGCACUUGUCCCAACAGUUCCACUCUGAGAACCAGAAGAUUAAGAAUGGCAAAAAGAAAAUUGAGGCAUUAAAGGAGCGCAGCCAGGAGUUGGUUAGCCAACUGGAGCAGCUGCAAGGAAAGAUGGACUGUUUGGAGAAUGAGUGCAGGGUCAUGAGGAACAACCUGGAGGAAGAAGAGUUAAAAGCACAAACGUUUAUUCAGCUGGCCGAUCAAGCUGUUCUGCGUCUUCCUGCUUUACCACGAUAUCCUGAAGAUGAGCCCACGUUACAGAACUUCCAAAGGAUUCUGCGCUUGAGAGUCGACUCUGGGGAUUCCCGGGGAGGCCUCCAGCGCUCGAGCCUUGAAGGCUGUUAACUUCACCUCGAACCACAAAAUUGGCCAUGAGCGUGAGAGGACUCGGGAGUUCACUGUGAGCCGCCUCAACACCAAAAUCAAAAGUAUUUGUACACGUGGAAGAUUCCUCUUCUUGAUUGACAGGAGUGGAACCUGAUAUGAUCUUCUGCUGGAGCUCAUCCAUACCAAGGUUCAGAAACGUAAAGCUGAGAAGCUUCUCAUCUCACCACAGCUGAGUGAUUAUGUAGCAUAAUCUUACUUUAACCUACCUGUCAGCUGAACCAGUCUGACCGCUGUCCUCUCUCAACAAGGUGAAUUUACUCACUGACUUGCUGCUCACUAAACGGUUUCUUUUCCACCAGCAACAUUCUGUGCAAACUCUAGAGACUGUUGUCUAUGAAAAUCCCAGGAGAUCAUCACUUUCUGAACCGUGUUACAGUCAGUCAAUGAAAUCAGAUUUUCUCCCCAGCGUCAUGUUUGAUGUGAACAAACACAUAUCCAUUUAAUUGUAUGCAUUGCACUGUGUUUGCAUUGUAAUGUGCCACAAGUUCAGUUAAAUAAGCAGGUUUUCUUAUUAACGUGGUGGGUGAGUUUACAAUAAUAUUCUGGUAACUGGUGGACAGGCUGUUAGAACAACCCUAAAGUAAAAAUUUCAAUCAGUACCGAUGGAUGGAAACAUUCAACUCAACAACUCAACUCAAAGUGCAGGAAGAAGAAUGGGGCAGACACGUUGUAACGUCUAUUCCUUUUUUAGGUCAUAAGCAUGCAUUUGAUGUCAAUAGGGAAACCCACCUGUGUUACAAGAUGACUUAUAGAUAUGAAGUGAGAAUGUGAAUACGAAAAACUCCAUUCUGACUAAGAAAUUCUCCAUCUAACUCAAAACAAAAGUAUUAUGCUAAUUGUUCUGAUAGUCAUUUUUACUUUUUAAAGAAAUUGCCUCUAAUUCAUAGCAAUUCAAUUUCUAAGAAUUAAAAAAGGGGUUGUUUGGAGGGUUACUUCCAUUCCACCCAUGAGAAUUUAAUUACA